rnacentral:rRNA from 1 species
AGUGAACGCUGGCGGUAGGCCUAACACAUGCAAGUCGAACGGCGGCACAGUAAGAGCUUGCUCUUACGGGUGGCGAGUGGCGGACGGGUGAGGAAUACAUCGGAGUCUACUUUUUCGUGGGGGAUAACGUAGGGAAACUUACGCUAAUACCGCAUACGACCUACGGGUGAAAGCAGGGGAUCUUCGGACCUUGCGCGAUUGAAUGAGCCGAUGUCGGAUUAGCUAGUUGGCGGGGUAAAGGCCCACCAAGGCGACGAUCCGUAGCUGGUCUGAGAGGAUGAUCAGCCACACUGGAACUGAGACACGGUCCAGACUCCUACGGGAGGCAGCAGUGGGGAAUAUUGGACAAAGGGCGCAAGCCUGAUCCAGCCAUACCGCGUGGGUGAAGGAGGCCUUCGGGUUGUAAAGCCCUUUUGUUGGGAAAGAAAAGCAGCAGGUUAAUACCCCGCUGUUCUGACGGUACCCAAAGAAUAAGCACCGGCUAACUUCGUG